rnacentral:tRNA from 1 species
GCGCGGUUAGUCUAGUGGAAAGUCACUCGCACUCAAUUAGCGGGAGCCCCGGGUUCGAUCCCGGACUGCGCG